rnacentral:rRNA from 1 species
GAUGAACGCUAGCUACAGGCUUAACACAUGCAAGUCGAGGGGCAGCGGGAUUGAAGCUUGCUUCAAUUGCCGGCGACCGGCGCACGGGUGAGUAACGCGUAUCCAACCUUCCGUACACUCAGGGAUAGCCUUUCGAAAGAAAGAUUAAUACCUGAUGGUAUGAUGAGAUUGCAUGAUAGCAUCAUUAAAGAUUUAUCGGUGUACGAUGGGGAUGCGUUCCAUUAGGUAGUAGGCGGGGUAACGGCCCACCUAGCCUACGAUGGAUAGGGGUUCUGAGAGGAAGGCCCCCCCACAUUGGAACUGAGACACGGUCCAAACUCCUACGGGAGGCAGCAGUGGGGAAUAUUGGUCAAUGGGCGAGAGCCUGAACCAGCCAAGUAGCGUGAAGGAUGACUGCCCUAUGGGUUGUAAACUUCUUUUAUAAAGGAAUAAAGUCGGGUAUGGAUACCCGUUUGCAUGUACUUUAUGAAUAAGGAUCCGGCUAACUCCGUGCCAGCAG